rnacentral:sRNA from 1 species
GCUGGGUGUGGUGGCACAUGCCUGUAACCCCAGUGACUUGGGAGGCUGAGGCAGGAGGAUUGUGAAUUCAAAGCCAGUCUCAGCAACUUAGUGAGACCUUGUCUCAA